AUGUAUGUUCAAGAAUUUGGUGCUGAAUGCGCUUUCCCGAACCAACGUCGUGUUUACUUGUCAUACCUGGAUUCUGUGAAAUACUUCAGACCUGGGAUUAAAGCAGCCACUAGAGAGGCCUUGCGUGCAUUCGUCUACCAUGAAAUUCUGAUAGGAUAUCUUGAAUACUGCAAGCAGCGUGGAUUCACAAGCUGUUAUAUAUGGGCUCGCCCACCUCUGGAAGGUGAUAACAUUUUUUAUUGCAAUCCUACGAUUCAGACGACUCGAACAUCUGACAUACUCCGGGAGUGGUGCUUAGCCAUGAUUCGAAAAGCUACUAAGGAGGAGAUUGUUGUUGAGCUUACAAAUCUGUAUGACCAUUUCUUCAUUACUACGGGAGAGUGCAAGGCUAAGGUUACUGCUUCUCGUUUGCCUUACUUCGAUGGAGGUUACUGGCCAGGAGCUGCUGAAGAUAUGGUCAAUCAACUGCAUCAAGAAGAAGAUGACCAAAAGUUUCAGAAGAAGGGUAAUGCAAAGAAAAUUAUUAGAAAAAGAGCUCUUGAAGCUGCUUGCCACACUGAUCUAAGUGGAAACGCUUCCAAGGAUGAUAUGCUGAUGCAAAAGCUUGGGGAAACCAUUUAUCCAAUGAAGGAGGAUUUCAUUAUGGUCCAUUUGCAGUAUUCUUGUAGCCACUGUCGUAGCUUUAUGUCGUCUGGAAAACGUUGGGCUUGUCAUCAAUGCAGAAGUUUUUACAUCUGUGACAAGUGCUACAGUGCAGAACAAGAGCUUGAAGAGAGGGAGAGGCAUCCGAGCAAUAGUAGAGAAACACAUGAGCUCCAUCCGGUUGACAUUGUGGGUGUGCCUGAAGAGACAAAGGAUGGAGACGGUAUCAUAGAAAGCAAGUUUUUCGACACCAGGCAGGCGUUUCUCAGUCUUUGUCAAGAGAACCAUUACCAAUUUGACACCCUUCGCCGUGCCAGGCAUUCGUCGAUGAUGGUGCUGUACCACCUACAUAAUCCCACUCUCCAGCGUUUCAAUAGGGCUGUGUAG
rnacentral:rRNA from 1 species